rnacentral:rRNA from 1 species
GGGUUGUGAGGUUAAGCGACUAAGCGUACACGGUGGAUGCCCUGGCAGUCAGAGGCGAUGAAGGGCGUGCUAAUCUGCGAUAAGCGCCGGUAAGGUGAUAUGAACCGUUAUAACCGGCGAUACCCGAAUGGGGAAACCCAGUGUGACUCGUCACACUAUCAUUAACUGAAUCCAUAGGUUAAUGAGGCGAACCGGGGGGAACUGAAACAUCUAAGUACCCCGAGGAAAAGAAAUCAACCGAGAUUCCCCCAGUAGCGGCGAGCGAACGGGGAGGAGCCCAGAGCCUGAAUCAGCAUGUGUGUUAGUGGAAGCGUCUGGAAAGGCGCGCGAUACAGGGUGACAGCCCCGUACACAAAAGCGCAUGUGCUGUGAGCUCGAUGAGUAGGGCGGGACACGUGGUAUCCUGUCUGAAUAUGGGGGGACCAUCCUCCAAGGCUAAAUACUCCUGACUGACCGAUAGUGAACCAGUACCGUGAGGGAAAGGCGAAAAGAACCCCGGCGAGGGGAGUGAAAAAGAACCUGAAACCGUGU